rnacentral:rRNA from 1 species
GGUUAAGCGACUAAGCGUACACGGUGGAUGCCCUGGCAGUCAGAGGCGAUGAAGGACGUGCUAAUCUGCGAUAAGCGUCGGUAAGGUGAUAUGAACCGUUAUAACCGGCGAUUUCCGAAUGGGGAAACCCAGUGUGAUUCGUCACACUAUCAUUACGUGAAUACAUAGCGUAAUGAAGCGAACCGGGGGAACUGAAACAUCUAAGUACCCCGAGGAAAAGAAAUCAACCGAGAUUCCCCCAGUAGCGGCGAGCGAACGGGGAGCAGCCCAGAGUCUGAAUCAGCUUGUGUGUUAGUGGAACGGUCUGGAAAGUCCGACGGUACAGGGUGAUAGUCCCGUACACCAAAAUGCACAGGUUGUGAACUCGAAGAGUAGGGCGGGACACGUGGUAUCCUGUCUGAAUAUGGGGGGACCAUCCUCCAAGGCUAAAUACUCCUGACUGACCGAUAGUGAACCAGUACCGUGAGGGAAAGGCGAAAAGAACCCCGGCGAGGGGAGUGAAAAAGAACCUGAAACCGUGUACGUACAAGCAGUGGGAGCAUCCUUUUGGGUGUGACUGCGUACCUUUUGUAUAAUGGGUCAGCGACUUAUAUUCUGUAGCAAGGUUAACCGUAUAGGGGAGCCGAAGGGAAACCGAGUCUUAACUGGGCGUUAAGUUGCAGGGUAUAGACCCGAAACCCGGUGAUCUAGCCAUGGGCAGGUUGAAGGUUGGGUAACACUAACUGGAGGACCGAACCGACUAAUGUUGAAAAAUUAGCGGAUGACUUGUGGCUGGGGGUGAAAGGCCAAUCAAACCGGGAGAUAGCUGGUUCUCCCCGAAAGCUAUUUAGGUAGCGCCUCGUGAACUCAUCUUCGGGGGUAGAGCACUGUUUCGGCUAGGGGGUCAUCCCGACUUACCAACCCGAUGCAAACUGCGAAUACCGAAGAAUGUUAUCACGGGAGACACACGGCGGGUGCUAACGUCCGUCGUGAAGAGGGAAACAACCCAGACCGCCAGCUAAGGUCCCAAAGUCAUGGUUAAGUGGGAAACGAUGUGGGAAGGCACAGACAGCCAGGAUGUUGGCUUAGAAGCAGCCAUCAUUUAAAGAAAGCGUAAUAGCUCACUGGUCGAGUCGGCCUGCGCGGAAGAUGUAACGGGGCUAAACCAUGCACCGAAGCUGCGGCAGCGACACUAUGUGUUGUUGGGUAGGGGAGCGUUCUGUAAGCCGUUGAAGGUGUAUCGUGAGGUAUGCUGGAGGUAUCAGAAGUGCGAAUGCUGACAUAAGUAACGAUAAUGCGGGUGAAAAACCCGCACGCCGGAAGACCAAGGGUUCCUGUCCAACGUUAAUCGGGGCAGGGUGAGUCGACCCCUAAGGCGAGGCCGAAAGGCGUAGUCGAUGGGAAACAGGUUAAUAUUCCUGUACUUGGUGUUACUGCGAAGGGGGGACGGAGAAGGCUAUGUUAGCCGGGCGACGGUUGUCCCGGUUUAAGCAUGUAGGCGGAGGUUCCAGGUAAAUCCGGUACCUUUUUAACGCUGAGGUGUGAUGACGAGGCACUACGGUGCUGAAGUAACAAAUGCCCUGCUUCCAGGAAAAGCCUCUAAGCAUCAGGUAACACGAAAUCGUACCCCAAACCGACACAGGUGGUCAGGUAGAGAAUACCAAGGCGCUUGAGAGAACUCGGGUGAAGGAACUAGGCAAAAUGGUGCCGUAACUUCGGGAGAAGGCACGCUGAUAUGUAGGUGAAGUGAUUUACUCAUGGAGCUGAAAUCAGUCGAAGAUACCAGCUGGCUGCAACUGUUUAUUAAAAACACAGCACUGUGCAAACACGAAAGUGGACGUAUACGGUGUGACGCCUGCCCGGUGCCGGAAGGUUAAUUGAUGGGGUUAUCCGUAAGGAGAAGCUCUUGAUCGAAGCCCCGGUAAACGGCGGCCGUAACUAUAACGGUCCUAAGGUAGCGAAAUUCCUUGUCGGGUAAGUUCCGACCUGCACGAAUGGCGUAAUGAUGGCCAGGCUGUCUCCACCCGAGACUCAGUGAAAUUGAACUCGCUGUGAAGAUGCAGUGUACCCGCGGCAAGACGGAAAGACCCCGUGAACCUUUACUAUAGCUUGACACUGAACACUGGUCCUUGAUGUGUAGGAUAGGUGGGAGGCUUUGAAGUGUGGACGCCAGUCUGCAUGGAGCCAUCCUUGAAAUACCACCCUUUAAUGGCUGGUGUUCUAACGUGGACCCGUAAUCCGGGUUGCGGACAGUGUCUGGUGGGUAGUUUGACUGGGGCGGUCUCCUCCUAAAGAGUAACGGAGGAGCACGAAGGUUAGCUAAUCCUGGUCGGACAUCAGGAGGUUAGUGCAAAGGCAUAAGCUAGCUUGACUGCGAGAGUGACGGCUCGAGCAGGUGCGAAAGCAGGUCUUAGUGAUCCGGUGGUUCUGAAUGGAAGGGCCAUCGCUCAACGGAUAAAAGGUACUCCGGGGAUAACAGGCUGAUACCGCCCAAGAGUUCAUAUCGACGGCGGUGUUUGGCACCUCGAUGUCGGCUCAUCACAUCCUGGGGCUGAAGUAGGUCCCAAGGGUAUGGCUGUUCGCCAUUUAAAGUGGUACGCGAGCUGGGUUUAGAACGUCGUGAGACAGUUCGGUCCCUAUCUGCCGUGGGCGCUGGAGAAUUGAGGGGGGCUGCUCCUAGUACGAGAGGACCGGAGUGGACGCAUCACUGGUGUUCGGGUUGUCAUGCCAAUGGCAUUGCCCGGUAGCUAAAUGCGGAAGAGAUAAGUGCUGAAAGCAUCUAAGCACGAAACUUGCCCCGAGAUGAGUUCUCCCUGAGACUAUAAGUCUCCUGAAGGAACGUUAAAGACGAUGACGUUGAUAGGUCGGGUGUGUAAGUGUAGCGAUACAUUGAGCUAACCGAUACUAAUGAACCGUGAGGCUUAACCUU